rnacentral:rRNA from 1 species
AACCAGAAGGCGCAAUGAAAGUGAAGGCACGGUCGCCGUGCUGAGGUGAGAGCCGUCCUCGACGGCGCAUCAUCGACCGAUCCCAUCCGCUCCCUCGUGGUGCGGCGGGAUUCGAGUAAGAGUGUACCUGUUGCGACCCGAAAGAUGGUGAACUAUGCCUGAAUAGGGUGAAGCCAGAGGAAACUCUGGUGGAGGCCCGCAGCGAUUCUGACGUGCAAAUCGAUCGUCAAAUUUGGGUAUAGGGGCGAAAGACUAAUCGAACCAUCUAGUAGCUGGUUCCCUCCGAAGUUUCCCUUAGGAUAGCUGUAGCCCGAAGCAGUUUUAUCAGGUAAAGCGAAUGAUUAGAGGUAUCGGGGAAGAAACUUCCUCGACCUAUUCUCAAACUUUAAAUAGGUAAGAAGUCCGACUUGCUCGAUUUGAAGCCGGACGCAGAAUGCUGGGUUACUAGUGGGCCAUUUUUGGUAAGCAGAACUGGCGAUGCGGGAUGAACCGAACGCCGAGUUAAGGUGCCAAAGUCGACGCUCAUCAGAUCCCACAAA